rnacentral:lncRNA from 1 species
CUUCCUUUAUUAUAUAUAUGAGAUGGGCAGGCCUUUUUAAGCAAAAGGUGAUCCACUAUCGGUUGUAGUCUUCUUGACAUAUCAAGUCAAGAGGGCGAGACUCCUAGCAAUGGGGGGAAAGAGGAAUGGGUAAGUGGGCUCCUUUCACUUGACUAGUUAGUUAGGAGUAAUCUUUUUUCGCACAUCUCCACUCUUUUUCUCUACUUCAAGUUCAAGUUCCGCUUGCUACUUCUCAUUUUAAUAGGACUAGGUGCUUGCAGCUCCAAUACCUUGUAUAAAACUCAUGUGUGUAAU